UACGUAGGGUGCAAGCGUUGUUCGGAAUUACUGGGCGUAAAGGGCGCGUAGGCGGCCUUCUAAGUCGAACGUGAAAUCCCCGGGCUCAACCCGGGAACUGCGUCCGAUACUGGAAGGCUUGAAUCCGGGAGAGGGAUGUGGAAUUCCAGGUGUAGCGGUGAAAUGCGUAGAUAUCAGGAGGAACACCAAUGGCGAAGGCAGCUCGCUGGGACGUGACUGACGCUGAGACGCGAAAGCGUGGGGAGCAAACAGG
rnacentral:rRNA from 1 species